GACGAACGCUGGCGGCGUGCUUAACACAUGCAAGUCGAACGGAAAGGCCCUGCUUUUGUGGGGUGCUCGAGUGGCGAACGGGUGAGUAACACGUGAGUAACCUGCCCUUGACUUUGGGAUAACUUCAGGAAACUGGGGCUAAUACCGGAUAGGAGCUCCUGCUGCAUGGUGGGGGUUGGAAAGUUUCGGCGGUUGGGGAUGGACUCGCGGCUUAUCAGCUUGUUGGUGGGGUAGUGGCUUACCAAGGCUUUGACGGGUAGCCGGCCUGAGAGGGUGACCGGCCACAUUGGGACUGAGAUACGGCCCAGACUCCUACGGGAGGCAGCAGUGGGGAAUAUUGCACAAUGGGCGGAAGCCUGAUGCAGCAACGCCGCGUGCAGGAUGACGGCCUUCGGGUUGUAAACCGCUUUCGCCUGUGACGAAGCGUGAGUGACGGUAAUGGGUAAAGAAGCACCGGCUAACUACGUGCCAGCAGCCGCGGUGAUACGUAGGGCGCGAGCGUUGUCCGGAUUUAUUGGGCGUAAAGGGCUCGUAGGUGGUUGAUCGCGUCGGAAGUGUAAUCUUGGGGCUUAACCCUGAGCGUGCUUUCGAUACGGGUUGACUUGAGGAAGGUAGGGGAGAAUGGAAUUCCUGGUGGAGCGGUGGAAUGCGCAGAUAUCAGGAGGAACACCAGUGGCGAAGGCGGUUCUCUGGGCCUUUCCUGACGCUGAGGAGCGAAAGCGUGGGGAGCGAACAGGCUUAGAUACCCUGGUAGUCCACGCUGUAAACGGUGGGUACUAGGUGUGGGGUCCAUUCCACGGGUUCCGUGCCGUAGCUAACGCUUUAAGUACCCCGCCUGGGGAGUACGGCCGCAAGGCUAAAACUCAAAGGAAUUGACGGGGCCCCGCACAAGCGGCGGAGCAUGCGGAUUAAUUCGAUGCAACGCGUAGAACCUUACCUGGGUUUGACAUGGAUCGGGAGCGCUCAGAGAUGGGUGUGCCUCUUUUGGGGUCGGUUCACAGGUGGUGCAUGGCUGUCGUCAGCUCGUGUCGUGAGAUGUUGGGUUAAGUCCCGCAACGAGCGCAACCCUUGUUCACUGUUGCCAGCACGUUAUGGUGGGGACUCAGUGGAGACCGCCGGGGUCAACUCGGAGGAAGGUGGGGAUGACGUCAAGUCAUCAUGCCCCUUAUGUCCAGGGCUUCACGCAUGCUACAAUGGCUGGUACAGAGAGUGGCGAGCCUGUGAGGGUGAGCGAAUCUCGGAAAGCCGGUCUCAGUUCGGAUUGGGGUCUGCAACUCGACCUCAUGAAGUCGGAGUCGCUAGUAAUCGCAGAUCAGCAACGCUGCGGUGAAUACGUUCCCGGGGCU
rnacentral:rRNA from 1 species